AUUGAACGCUGGCGGCAUGCCUUACACAUGCAAGUCGAACGGCAGCGCGGACUUCGGUCUGGCGGCGAGUGGCGAACGGGUGAGUAAUACAUCGGAACGUACCCUGUUGUGGGGGAUAACUAGUCGAAAGAUUAGCUAAUACCGCAUACGACCUGAGGGUGAAAGUGGGGGACCGCAAGGCCACACGCAGCAGGAGCGGCCGAUGUCUGAUUAGCUAGUUGGUGGGGUGAAGGCCCAUCAAGGCGACUAUCAGUAGCUGGUCUGAGAGGACGAUCAGCCACACUGGGACUGAGACACGGCCCAGACUCCUACGGGAGGCAGCAGUGGGGAAUUUUGGACAAUGGGGGCAACCCUGAUCCAGCAAUGCCGCGUGUGUGAAGAAGGCCUUCGGGUUGUAAAGCACUUUUGUCCGGAAAGAAAUCGCGCUGGUUAAUACCUGGCGUGGAUGACGGUACCGGAAGAAUAAGCACCGGCUAACUACGUGCCAGCAGCCGCGGUAA
rnacentral:rRNA from 1 species